GUGCGUGGACAGACGGUCGCCUGCGGGGCAACCCGCCGGAGGAAAGUCCGAACACCGAAGGACACGGUGAUGGGUAACGCCCACCGGCUCUGGUCGUGGAGCCAGGGAAAGUGCCACAGAAAACACACGGCCGAUGGCCGCUAUCGCGGCACAGGCAAAGGUGAAAUGGUGCGGUAAGAGCGCACCGCCCGGCCGGCGACGGUCGGGGCACGGUAAACCCCACCGGGUGCAAGCGCAAGCAGUCUCCGCCUCCGGUUCACCGGAGGAGCCGUGGUCCGCGGCUUCCGAAAGGUAGGAGACGGGUAGCGUGCUUGAGGUCGUCGGCAACGGCGGCCGUAGAUGAAUGACCGUCACCCGCUUCCUCUGUCAGAGAUGAUCGAGGGCGCGGGCACAGAAUUCGGCUUACGUCCACGCACGACC
rnacentral:RNase_P_RNA from 1 species